AGUAACGCGUAGGUAAUCUACCCUUAUAUUUGGGAUAACAUUGGGAAACUGGUGCUAAUACCGAAUGGUCUUCUUUGCUGCAGGGCGAAGGAGUAAAGGUGGCCUCUUCAUGAAAGCUACCGUGUAGGGAUGAGCCUGCGUACCAUUAGCUAGUAGGUGAGGUAACGGCCCACCUAGGCUACGAUGGUUAGCGGGUCUGAGAGGAUGAUCCGCCACACUGGAACUGGAACACGGACCAG
rnacentral:rRNA from 1 species